UAUAAAAAACAAAAUAUACAUUCACACCAGACUCACUCAUAAUUUACAUGUGAAAAGUUUAUAUCAAAUAGUAUAACACAUUACUUCAUAGAUUGUUCAAUUUUUUUUACAAAACAAAACUUUUCAACACUUUCUAUUUUAUGAAAUUAGGAUCUUAUACAAUGAUUUUCUUUGUAUUUAUUUGCUUUCAAUACCCUACACUCGCAGCAGCACGGUUAGGUUUAUACUAUGGGAGUUGUGUCCUAUAAAGAUGUGCAGUGUAAAGGCUGAUUUUCAUAUUUUUUACUAUCCAAUUGUUUACAAUGUACUGAGUGACAUGCAUCUCACAAGUGAAAUGACUGUGUGCAAUCCAUCAACAAAAGGUGGACAUGUUACAAUGUACUGAGUGACAUGCAUCUCACAAGUGAAAUGACUGUGUGCAAUCCAUCAACAAAAGGCGGACAUGUUACAAUGUACUGAGGGACAUGCAUCUCACAAGUGAAAUGACUGUGUGCAAUCCAUCAACAAAAGGCGGACAUGUUACAAGCAAAUUGAAAGCCAAGAACCUCCCUCUCCCCCAUUUUCUACGUUUUUCUAUUUUUGUUCUAAAUAGAUCUUGUUUACAAUGAACACAUCCCACUUGGAGC
rnacentral:sRNA from 1 species